rnacentral:rRNA from 1 species
AUUGAACGCUGGCGGCAGGCUUAACACAUGCAAGUCGAACGAGUGGCGGACGGGUGAGUAAUGCUUGGGACUCUGUCUUAUGGAGGGGGAUCACGACGGGACACUGUCGCUAAUACCGCGUACCCUAGGAUGAGCCCAAGGGGGAUUAGGUAGGUGGUGGGGUAAAGGCCUACCAAGCCGAUGAUCUCUAGCUGGUCUGAGAGGAUGACCAGCCACACCGGGACUGAGACACGGCCCGGACUCCUACGGGAGGCAGCAGUGGGGAAUAUUGCGCAAUGGGGGCAAGCUGAUGCAGCCAUGCCGCGUGUAUGAAGAAGGCCUUCGGGUUGUAAAGUACUUUCGGCGAGGAGGCGUUAAUCACAGAAGAAGCACCGGCUAACUCCGUGCCAGCAGCCGCGGUAAUUC